UUGUUCGUGAAAUCUCACGGCUUAACUGUGAGCGUGCGGGCGAUACGGGCAGACUUGAGUACUGCAGGGGAGACUGGAAUUCCUGGUGUAGCGGUGGAAUGCGCAGAUAUCAGGAGGAACACCGGUGGCGAAGGCGGGUCUCUGGGCAGUAACUGACGCUGAGGAGCGAAAGCGUGGGGAGCGAACAGGAUUAGAUACCCUGGUAGUCCACGCCGUAAACGGUGGGUACUAGGUGUGGGUUUCCUUCCUUGGGAUCCGUGCCGUAGCUAACGCAUUAAGUACCCCGCCUGGGGAGUACGGCCGCAAGGCUAAAACUCAAAGAAAUUGACGGGGGCCCGCACAAGCGGCGGAGCAUGUGGAUUAAUUCGAUGCAACGCGAAGAACCUUACCUGGGUUUGACAUGCACAGGACGCCGGCAGAGAUGUCGGUUCCCUUGUGGCCUGUGUGCAGGUGGUGCAUGGCUGUCGUCAGCUCGUGUCGUGAGAUGUUGGGUUAAGUCCCGCAACGAGCGCAACCCUUGUCUCAUGUUGCCAGCGGGUAAUGCCGGGGACUCGUGAGAGACUGCCGGGGUCAACUCGGAGGAAGGUGGGGAUGACGUCAAGUCAUCAUGCCCCUUAUGUCCAGGGCUUCACACAUGCUACAAUGGCCGGUACAAAGGGCUGCGAUGCCGCGAGGUUAAGCGAAUCCUUU
rnacentral:rRNA from 1 species